UGGGGAAUCUUAGACAAUGGGCGCAAGCCUGAUCUAGCGAUGCCGCGUGAGUGACGAAGGCCUUAGGGUCGUAAAGCUCUUUCGCCAGGGAUGAUAAUGACAGUACCUGGUAAAGAAACCCCGGCUAACUCCGUGCCAGCAGCCGCGGUAAUACGGAGGGGGUUAGCGUUGUUCGGAAUUACUGGGCGUAAAGCGCACGUAGGCGGAUUGACAAGUAUAGGGUGAAAUCCCGGGGCUCAACCCCGGAACUGCCUUAUAAACUGUCUGUCUUGAGUUCGAGAGAGGUGAGUGGAAUUCCGAGUGUAGAGGUGAAAUUCGUAGAUAUUCGGAGGAACACCAGUGGCGAAGGCGGCUCACUGGCUCGAUACUGACGCUGAGGUGCGAAAGCGUGGGGAGCAAACA
rnacentral:rRNA from 1 species